GACGAACGCUGGCGGCGUGCUUAACACAUGCAAGUCGAGCGGUAAGGCCCUUUCGGGGGUACACGAGCGGCGAACGGGUGAGUAACACGUGGGUGACCUGCCCUCAGCUCUGGGAUAAGCCUGGGAAACCGGGUCUAAUACUGGAUAUGACUCCAUGACGCAUGUUGUGGGGUGGAAAGCCUUGUGCGGCUGAGGAUGGGCCCGCGGCCUAUCAGCUUGUUGGUGGGGUGAUGGCCUACCAAGGCGACGACGGGUAGCCGGCCUGAGAGGGCGACCGGCCACACUGGGACUGAGACACGGCCCAGACUCCUACGGGAGGCAGCAGUGGGGAAUCUUGCGCAAUGGGCGAAAAGCCUGACGCAGCGACGCCGCGUGAGGGAUGACGGCCU
rnacentral:rRNA from 1 species